GGCCUUCUGGACUGACACUGACGCUGAGGUGCGAAAGCGUGGGUAGCAAACAGGAUUAGAUACCCUGGUAGUCCACGCCGUAAACGAUGUCGACUAGCCGUUGGGGUCCUUGAGACCUUUGUGGCGCAGUUAACGCGAUAAGUCGACCGCCUGGGGAGUACGGCCGCAAGGUUAAAACUCAAAUGAAUUGACGGGGGCCCGCACAAGCGGUGGAGCAUGUGGUUUAAUUCGAUGCAACGCGAAGAACCUUACCUACCCUUGACAUCGAGAGAACUUGGCAGAGAUGCCUUGGUGCCUUCGGGAACUCUCAGACAGGUGCUGCAUGGCUGUCGUCAGCUCGUGUUGUGAAAUGUUGGGUUAAGUCCCGUAACGAGCGCAACCCUUGUCCUUAUUUGCCAGCGCGUAAUGGCGGGAACUCUAAGGAGACUGCCGGUGACAAACCGGAGGAAGGUGGGGACGACGUCAAGUCAUCAUGGCCCUUACGGGUAGGGCUACACACGUGCUACAAUGGGACGGUACAAAGGGUUGCAAAGCCGCGAGGUGGAGCUA
rnacentral:rRNA from 1 species